AACACAAAAUCCCACAAAAUGAAUGCCGCGACCGCAGAAACAUUUGACACGAAACCAACAAGCGCACAAGAUAACUGGUUCCUAUAGAUCGAAACGAAAACCGAGGCAAAUAUAACUACGCUUGAUAGAUGCUGGGAGACAGGUAAACUAUCGGCCACUAAAGACCAAAAGUCAGUGACUUGAAUGUUAACAUUUCGUUGUAAGCCAUUCAAAAAAGAUUCAUCAAUGAAGUUAUCUGGGUAAUCUUGUUUCCUCCAUAAAACCUUUUUCCAAGGUUUCUUUAGUUCAACAACUUCUUUUACAGAGGCUUUCCUGAACGUGUUCAAGACGAGUGAUUUCGCGACCAUCUUUUUGGGCGCUGGAGCAGCACAUACUUCAUCCAUUCAGUUUUAAAGUAAUUUAUAAAUCAACUAAAUAACUACAUUCGUCCUAAACUCUCAUACAAAUUAAGCUGAAUUUGCUUCCAAUACCGUAUUUUCAACAGUUCUUAGAGUAGUUGGAUUUGGUUAACAUCGACUGACUAUAAUAUAAGUUGACUAGUACUGUAUGUUUGGGUCCGCAAACAAAUAAACCACACUUUCCUAAUUUAAUUCAUAUAUAUCUACUUUAAAAAGUACAUUCAGCAUCGUUAAGAGUUUUUAUUCCCAAGAAAAUGAUUUAACUGCAUGACUCUGAAUAUAGGGUUGUUCAUGAAAUCUGCAAUCGCGCAUACUCGCAAUUGGACUUUAAUCUAUCAAUUGACAAUUCAAGUGAUAAAAUUUACGACUGAACUCUUAUAAACCCGAAUUCAAGCAUUCUAGUAAGCUAAUAAGUCAACAUUAAUUAUAAACAAUUAUUCUAAAUUCAACGAAAAGUAAACUUUCACGAACAGGGUUUACAUUUUACGAAAAAUAUGUGUAUUCUUUCUAACUUUCCCUUAUUCAAAAACUGCAAAAGGUUAUCUCUUAGUUUCCUAUUCUUGAUGUACGUUUAACUCGUAGUGUUAUAAAAUACUUGAAAGCUAAAUGUGCG